UACGUAGGGUGCGAGCGUUGUCCGGAAUUAUUGGGCGUAAAGAGCUCGUAGGCGGUCUGUCGCGUCGAUCGUGAAAACUUGGGGCUUAACCCUGAGCUUGCGGUCGAUACGGGCAUGGACUGGAGUUCGGCAGGGGAGGACUGAAUUCCUGGUGUAGCGGUGAAAUGCGCAGAUAUCAGGAGGAACACCGGUGGCGAAGGCGGGUCUCUGGGCCGAUACUGACGCUGAGGAGCGAAAGCGUGGGGAGCGAACAGG
rnacentral:rRNA from 1 species